rnacentral:rRNA from 1 species
UAGGGAAUAUUGCGCAAUGGGCGAAAGCCUGACGCAGCGACGCCGCGUGAGCGAAGAAGGCCUUCGGGUCGUAAAGCUCUGUCCUCAGGGAAGAAGGAAGUGACGGUACCUGAGGAGGAAGCCCCGGCUAACUACGUG